rnacentral:ncRNA from 1 species
CAAAAAUUUAGCUUUCAGAUUUAUCUUAAAUUAAAUAAUAGUUUAUUUAAAAUUUAAAAGCAUAAUUUUUAACAAUUAAAUUUAAUUAUGAUUCAUUAGUUGCUAAAUAAGUGCCAGAAGCAUCGGUUAUACUUAUUACUUAAUUAAGAAACUCUAGAAUUCAAAAUUUUUAUCUUUAAUAGAGUUAAAAUUUUAGGUAAAAUAUAUAUUAUAAUUAAUACAAUAAAAAUUUUGUAAAAUAAGAAAUAUGACUCGGAUUGGAUACCCGAUUAAUCUUAAUGUAAAAUUAUAGAGGAUUAAAAAAGAAUUGAAACCCGACAAAGUUGGCAGAAUUUAGUUGUUUUUGGGAGUUUUGAGAUGUAAUCGAUAACCCACGUUAAAAUCCUAAUUUUUUGGUUCUAGUAUAGCCGAAAAUAAUCUCAUAUGAGAUUAUUUUAAUUAAUUUUAUGUUUUCAGGUCUUUACAAGGCAUAAUUAGGAAAUCUUGAAAUUUAUUUAUUUUUAAAUUUUAAUCAAAAUUUAAAAUUUUUGCUUUAAUAAAACUAAAAAGUAAAAAAAAGUAAAAUUAAUUUUUUUGAAUUUCAUAACUAAAUUGGUACAAAUUGCCCGUCACCUUAGUGUCAUAGCUAAGAAAGUCGUAGCAAAGUAAAUUCAUUGGAAAAUGAAUUUCUAACUA